CGCAAAGCAGGCUAGACCCGAGCCGGGAAAUAUUUGUUAAAAUAAGUCUGACAGGCAAAAAUAGUGAUUAUACUGGACGAUAGUUAAAUUGUGCCAGUAAGAACAAGUGGAUGUGAAGCAGCAGAUUUACGAUAAGUGAUGCUCCUCCUGGAUCACCGCAUGCGAAUGCAUGUUAUCAUGGAGUAGAGUGGAAUAACUUCUGAGAUCGGCCUUUCGUUUCAACCUAAAAGCGAUGGUGGAGAAUGCCAUAAUUUUGGCGCAGUGGUUGGUGCUUCCGAGCAAGGAAUGACGGGUCGGUGAUGGAAUACCCGAGAUGCGCCCUGAGUUGUCCGGACAAAACCCCCUUCUCUGCAGUCGCCGCGGGAUACUCCUACCCAACACACUGACGCCCAUUACAUCUAGGUUUAAGUUCACACCCUAACCGUAAGUAAUAAACCGCUACUAAUGAAUGAUGUAAAAUUUAUGCUUUGAUUUUGCCAUGGAUGAACUCGAUUGAAGACUUUGGUAGGUUCCCAGUUGUAAGAACCUGGUAGUUUGGAAUGAUUGGUUCCUGUUGUAAGGAAGCCAAUGUCCUCGCAUCUCCU